CUUGACUGUAGCCUGGAAUUGGGUUCGGGCUUCUCUUGCGCAGACUAGGUGGGAGGCUAUGAAGAUUUCCUUCCGGGGAAGUUGGAGCCAACAGUGAGAGACCACUCUGGAAAGGCUAGGAUCCUCAUGGUGAUCCUUGAAUCAGGACACUUGACAGUUUCAGGCGGGCAGUUUCUCUGGGGCGGAGGCCUCAUAAAAGGUAACUGAGGUGCGCAAAGGUUCCCUCAGUCUGGACGGAAAUCAGACAUUGAGUGUAAAGGCAAAAGGGGGCUUGACUGCAAGACCUACAAGUCGAGCAGGAGCGAAAGCUGGCCUUAGUGAUCCGACGGUACCGUGUGGAAGGGCCGUCGCUCAACGAAUAAAAGUUA
rnacentral:rRNA from 1 species